rnacentral:rRNA from 1 species
UACAGAGGGGGCAAGCGUUGUUCGGAAUUACUGGGCGUAAAGGGCGCGUAGGCGGCCUUCUAAGUCGAACGUGAAAUCCCCGGGCUCAACCCGGGAACUGCGUCCGAGACUGAAAGGCUCGAAUCCGGGAGAGGGAUGUGGAAUUCCAGGUGUAGCGGUGAAAUGCGUAGAUAUCUGGAGGAACAUCGGUGGCGAAGGCGGCAUCCUGGACCGGUAUUGACGCUGAGACGCGAAAGCGUGGGGAGCGAACAGG